rnacentral:rRNA from 1 species
UUUGACCUGAGAUCAGUCGAGACUACCCGCUGAAUUUAAGCAUAUUAAUAA